UUUGGUCGAAAGAAAACAAACAGUCUGGUAGAGAUGGCUUUCUUUAUAGCAAGGCACCGAUGUCUUAAGGUCAUGGUGAGUACUGUAAAGAUGAAUUUUUUAGUGUGAUAUAAAAAGGAGUAACACCUCGAUCAUGGUUUGUUCAAUGCAGUGACUUGGUGGAAGACAUUUGUGAUAUCGCUCUACGAUAAAAGCUGAAAAAUACAGUCUACAAAGAGGAAGACAAUCACAAACAAGAAAACAUCAGGCUUCAGUGUUCAUCGCUUUAAACGGUUGGAUAUUCUUUACGAAAACGAUCUUAGUCCAACUGAAGUUUGUUUCUUGAGACGGAAACGUCAGGCUUCAGUGUUCAUCUCCUUAGGACGGUUGGAUUUUCAUUUCAAGGUCGAUCACAGUAAAACUGGAGCUUCUUUUUUGAAACGGUAAGCUAUCU